rnacentral:tRNA from 1 species
GCCCAGGUGGCGCAAUGGAAGAUUCUGCCGGUCCAAACCCGGCUGCCGCAAUGCUUGUGGGUUCGAGUCCCACCCUGGGCA